CAAGCACUGAAUACAUAGCAAGGAUCCGCACUGUGGUUCAUGGGGGAUUGAGUGAAGCUGUCCCCAUUAAGAUCCUUACAAAAGCUGUUCCAAGCCCAGAGAAGCCAGCAGUGAUAUCAGCGACCACAACAUCUGCCAAGAUAAAGUGGGCUUCACCAGGAGGACUGCAAGGGCUUGCACCCAGUUUUCUACUCAAUAUAGAAGGACGUGAAAUUACUACAAAUUCAUGUGACUACCAUAUCCAAAACCUUAAGCCAGGCUCUGACUACACAGUCAACAUAUACGCUGUUCUGAAGGCCAGGAAGAGUCAACCUGUUUCGGUUGAAAUCCAUACACAGGUGCCACCACCAGAAAACGUGAAAGAGGUCUCAGUUUCUGAAACAUCUGCUGAGUUGAUAUGGACCUCACCACGUGAACUCCAUAACAUCGAACACAGUUUUGUGGUGAAAAUUAACAAUGGACCUGAGAAA